rnacentral:rRNA from 1 species
GACGAAGGUGGCGAGCGUUACUCGGAAUUACUAGGCGUAAAGCGUGGGCAGGCGGUUUGGUAAGUCUGUUGUGAAAGCUCCGGGCUCAACCCGGAGAGGCCAAUGGAUACUGCCAGACUUGGAUGUGGGAGAGGUGACUGGAAUUCCUGGUGUAGCGGUGAAAUGCGUAGAUAUCAGGAGGAACACCGAUGGCGAAGGCAGGUCACUGGACCACUAUCGACGCUCAUCCACGAAAGCUGGGGGAUCAAACAGG